UUAAGAAGAAGAAGCUCGCUAUUGUUGUGCAUCCUUAGAAUACUACAACAAGGAUUGGAAGCUCAGAAUGGAGAAGGUCCUGGGAGUCUUAUCAGUAGUUUUGUGGCUACACCUGGACUGCGUAAGCAGUCAAGACAAAAUAGAACAGACUCCUCCAUCUCUGAGCAUCCAGGCGGGAGAGAACGUCACGAUGACCUGUAGGUAUACAGUAAGCAAUUUUAGAGGUUUACAAUGGUACAGACAGUAUCCUGGAAAAGGCCCCAGGAUUCUCCUGGCCAUGUAUUCGAAAGGAGAAGAGAAACAGGAAAGAAGAUUUAGAGCCACAUUAGAGAAGGAGCAUAGCAACCUGCACAUCCUCGCUUCUCAGCCGGGAGACUCAGGCACCUACUUCUGCGCUGUUGAGACACAGUGGUUCUUAAGCACCUGUGAGCCCGUGCAUAAACCUAGCAGGUGGGGCUACGGCCAAAAGGCAAAGGCAAGUUCAACUCAAGAUGUUCAAAAGUGA